GACGAACGCUGGCGGCGUGCUUAACACAUGCAAGUCGAACGGAAAGGCCCUGCUUUUGUGGGGUGCUCGAGUGGCGAACGGGUGAGUAACACGUGAGUAACCUGCCCUUGACUUUGGGAUAACUUCAGGAAACUGGGGCUAAUACCGGAUAGGAGCUCCUGCUGCAUGGUGGGGGUUGGAAAGUUUCGGCGGUUGGGGAUGGACUCGCGGCUUAUCAGCUUGUUGGUGGGGGGUUGGCUUACAAAGGUUUGGGCGGGAAGCGGGCUGUGGGGGGGGACCGGCCGCAUGGGGAGUGAUAUGAGCCCGAGCCGCCUACGGGGGGAGGCAGGGGGGAAUAUUCCACAAGGGGGGGAGCCCGGAUGAAGCAGCCCCGCGGGGGGGAGGUCGGCCUUCUGUUUGUACUCCUCUUUCGCCUGUGAAGAAGAGUGAUUGACGGUAAUUGAUAAAGAAGCCCCGCCUAACUCUGUG
rnacentral:rRNA from 1 species